GCCGGUGUAGCUCAGUGGUAGAGCAGCGCACUCGUAAUGCGCAGGCCUGCGGUUCAAGUCCGCACACCGGCUCCA
rnacentral:tRNA from 1 species